CGUAGGUGGCAAGCGUUGUCCGGAUUUAUUGGGUUUAAAGGGUGCGUAGGUGGCCCUGUAAGUCAGUGGUGAAAUAUCUCAGCUUAACUGAGAGGGUGCCAUUGAUACUGCAGGGCUUGAGUACAGAUGAGGUAGGCGGAAUUGACGGUGUAGCGGUGAAAUGCAUAGAUAUCGUCAAGAACACCGAUAGCGAAGGCAGCUUACCAAGCUGUAACUGACACUGAGGCACGAAAGUGUGGGGAUCAAACAGGAUUAGAUACCCUGGUAGUCCACACUGUAAACGUUGAUGACUCGAUGUUGGCGAUACACAGCCAGCGUCCAAGAGCAAUCGUUAAGUCAUCCACCUGGGGAGUACGCCGGACAACGGUG
rnacentral:rRNA from 1 species